rnacentral:rRNA from 1 species
GACGAACGCUGGCGGCGUGCCUAAUACAUGCAAGUAGAACGCACAGGUUAUGCGGUUGCUUGCUUCACCAUAGACGGUGAGGUGCGAAUGAGGGGGUGACGAGUAGGUUACCUGCGGGGUAGCAGGGGAUGACUAGUGAGAAAAAUAGCUAUUACCGCAUAAUACUCAUUAUUGCAUGAUAAUUGAUUGAAAUAUGCUAUUGCAUCACUGCCAGACGGACUUGCGUUGUAUUAGUUAGUAGGUGAGGUAACGGCUCACCUAGGCGACGAUACAUAGCCGACCUGAGAGGGUGAUCGGCCACACUGGGACUGAGACACGGCCCAGACUCCUACGGGAGGCAGCAGUAGGGAAUCUUCGGCAAUGGGCGAAAGGCUGACCGAGCAACGCCGCGUGAGUGAAGAAGGUUUUCGGAUCGUAAAGCUCUGUUGUAAGUGAAGAACGGGUGUGAGAGUGGAAAGUUCACACUGUGACGGUAUCUUACCAGAAAGGGACGGCUAACUACGUG